rnacentral:sRNA from 1 species
UUUGAUAACCCAGAUAUCCUAACAGUCCUCGACAAGUCGGUUCGCUCAGACUAGCCACGUGGCUGGCCAAAUGGCACUCCACGUGUCGGCUCCUGAAACGCUGCAGCAUGUGAAUUCCGCAGUGACCGGGGCUCGAACUCGUGAUGGCGGGUAUCUCAGCUGAGGGUCCUAUACCACCAGAGCUAGAGGCUCUGGUUUGCCUUCAUCUUGUCGUUAUUA